UGUUACUCGAAGGGUUUAGGCGUAUUUCACCAAAGCGGAAGGUACACAGCAGCCAGGCUUCAGGGCAGGAGAAGGAAGAUAAAAGGUGUUUCCUGCCUUCAUCUUCACAAGAAAACCAAGGACUGGUCACCAGUGGCAUCUGCACAGCUAUCUCCAGCUUCGCUCCUCCUGGCACGGUUUGACUGGUGGCAAGCAGGCUCACUAUGGACGCCUCUGUGAUCCGGGAGUGAAUCAGAUGGAUGAGGUGAUCUGCGGUGUGCUGAGAGUAACUUGCAUAAGUAGCCUCCAAAGCCAAGGAGACUUUACUUGUGCUAAGAAGUUCCAAAGAUAAUCAGAUCAGACACUUGCAGGGAGCAAGCUUUACACUCCAUAAAGUUCCUCACCCCUGUGAUUCCCUAACCAGCUUGUUCCAGGUAGGCAGCUAUCCUUAUAUUCCACCCGGAGAGGAGGAAGCUAUUCUCAGCCACGUCUUCCUUAAAACUGUUUAUCUCAGACCUAAACUCUCUGUAUGGUUUGAAGAUAGCUCACACCCUCCAAAACUCUUGUUGAAAUGUAAUCCUAUUAAUGAGACAUUAAGAAGCAGGGCUAUGUGGGAUUUUAAAAGACACUUAGAGCUCUGCCCAUCACGACUGGAUUAAUGGGUUAUUGGAUUAUCUGGAGAGCAGGGAUGCUGCAAAAGCCAGUUUGGCCAGCCCCCCCCACCCAACUCUGAUCAUGUGAUGCCUGUACUAUACCUCAGGAUUCAGCCAGCAAGAAGGCUGUCACCCAGAUACAGCACCUAGGACCUUGGGUCACAGUCCUGAGUGCAACAAACCCUUUUGCUUUAUAAUUUAUCCAUAUAUGGCACUGUGUCAUUAGCAACAGAAUGUGGAUGAAGAUACUAUUAUAAGUCCAGUCUUACAUUGCUUGAGAUAAAGUAUCACACCACCACUACCUCCACUGAAUAUGUUUCUGAGCUUUGUGUACUUGAGUGAAGGCCUGGUUUGUACAAAUUCAGUUUACAAACCACAUCUGCAGAAACCUGACAUGUACUUCUUAUUCCUCUCUGUGUCCUUUAUGCACCGGAGUGGGCUAGCCUUUGCAGGAGUGAGUCAUCUUUUAGAAGGACAGACAGCUGUCAGUGGUUGUGGCAGUGAUCACAUUGCAUUGUUUCUGUACAUUGAAUCAUGGAAGGCAUAAUGUAAUCCAGGAAGUGGUGCUGACUUCGCUCCCUGGAGCUGACACAGCCUCACCAUUUUCUUGAGGGAUCUGGCAGCCUGAUCACUGUCACUUGCCAGUUUCUCAGGAGAAGUGAGAUGGGCUUCCAUCUUUUACUGUAGACUUGCUUUCUACUUUGUUCCAAGCUUAAAGUACUGUCAAAUCAAGAUUGCUAGAGUAAUUUCCUUUCUUUGUGCUUCUUGUAAUUUUUGUCUUUGGGAAAUGAAUAAUAUGAAAAUAUAGUAUUC